UGUUUGUCCCUGGUUCCUGUGUUGCCUACCUAUUGGAAGGUACUCUUGUGGCUUGUUGGACUUUAUCCAUCCCAGCCUUUGAUGGGUUGAGGAGGGCUUUCGUGGCAAUACACAAUUACCUAUUUAGUCUGGUUCUAUGGCGACUAUUUUGGUUUGUGUGUAUUGAUCGUGUUCUUGGAUGCGGUGCAUGAGGCGGACGUGGGUUGUUUUCCCUACGGUGUCCCUUAAUCGUUUUGGUUGCCUUGAACAAUGCUUGCCCUCUUGUGUGCUUUGGUAUCCAUUAUUUGGUGCAGAGCUUGCAUGAUGGGCAGA
rnacentral:misc_RNA from 1 species